rnacentral:rRNA from 1 species
UUGAAGUUCAGGUAACACUGAAUGGAGGACCGAACCGACUUACGUUGAAAAGUGAGCGGAUGAACUGAGGGUAGCGGAGAAAUUCCAAUCGAACCUGGAGAUAGCUGGUUCUCUCCGAAAUAGCUUUAGGGCUAGCCUCAAGUGAUGAUUAUUGGAGGUAGAGCACUGUUUGGACGAGGGGCCCCUCUCGGGUUACCGAAUUCAGACAAACUCCGAAUGCCAAUUAAUUUAACUUGGGAGUCAGAACAUGGGUGAUAAGGUCCGUGUUCGAAAGGGAAACAGCCCAGACCACCAGCUAAGGUCCCAAAAUAUAUGUUAAGUGGAAAAGGAUGUGGCGUUGCCCAGACAACUAGGAUGUUGGCUUAGAAGCAGCCAUCAUUUAAAGAGUGCGUAAUAGCUCACUAGUCGAGUGACACUGCGCCGAAAAUGUACCGGGGCUAAACAUAUUACCGAAGCUGUGGAUUGUCCUUUGGACAAUGGUAGGAGAGCGUUCUAAGGGCGUUGAAGCAUGAUCGUAAGGACAUGUGGAGCGCUUAGAAGUGAGAAUGCCGGUGUGAGUAGCGAAAGACGGGUGAGAAUCCCGUCCACCGAUUGACUAAGGUUUCCAGAGGAAGGCUCGUCCGCUCUGGGUUAGUCGGGUCCUAAGCUGAGGCCGACAGGCGUAGGCGAUGGAUAACAGGUUGAUAUUCCUGUACCACCUAUAAUC